rnacentral:rRNA from 1 species
UACAGAGGUCCCAAGCGUUGUUCGGAUUCACUGGGCGUAAAGGGUGCGUAGGUGGCCAGGUAAGUUUGGUGUGAAAGCUCGGAGCUUAACUCCGAAAUGUCAUUGAAUACUAUCUGGCUGGAGGGUCGGAGGGGAGACUGGAAUUCUCGGUGUAGCAGUGAAAUGCGUAGAUAUCGAGAGGAACACCAGUGGCGAAGGCGAGUCUCUGGACGACUCCUGACACUGAGGCACGAAAGCUAGGGGAGCAAACAGG